GACCCCCACAGCACGUGACCGCAGUGUCCCGUGACUGGAGUCUGGCUCCCGUAACCCAGGCUUGGUCCCUGGGAGGUGGGAAGUGGGCGGUGGCUCGGGGCAGAGGAGGAGGUGCCACGGAAGUUGCAGAGUGACUUGGUGCCCAAGCAACUUCAAAAGUGAACCACAACACCAAGAGUGAACCCUAAUGUAAACUAUGGACUCUGGUUGCGGAAAUAGAGCUCUGUGUGUGUACCCGGGUUAGAGACACACUUGUCUCCUGAGACGGUCGAGAAUCAGCAGUGAUCCAGAUCAUGGAUUCUAUUGUAAAUACUGUUCUCCAAUAAAUGAAGCCAGGCUCCAAGGCUGGGCAGAGAAAAUACAGGGUGAGCCUGGAGCAUCUUGUGGAGCCAGAAAGUAAGGACAGGCUUAGAAAACAAGGAUGGGCUUGUCAUUAGGACACAGGAGCCAACCUGAGAGUGCUCCCAAUGGUGAAGCUGGUCCAUUAAUGAUGCAAAAGACAAGUGAAUCAUGGCUGAUAAUUAAUACUAAUAUUAAUGAAUAACACGUCAGAAAAAUAGAAACUAGUAAGCUUUAAAGUGAAAUAUAUGCUAACAAGCAGGAAAAAGAAGCAAGACUCCUGUCAUACAAUUAAGAAGUACAAACUGUCAGUUAUAAAAAUAGUGAUGUAAA